rnacentral:rRNA from 1 species
GGGAACGUACCCUUCGGUUCGGAAUAGCUCAGGGAAACUUGAGCUAAUACCGGAUACGCCCUUUUGGGGAAAGGUUUACUGCCGAAGGAUCGGCCCGCGUCUGAUUAGCUUGUUGGUGGGGUAACGGCCUACCAAGGCGACGAUCAGUAGCUGGUCUGAGAGGAUGAUCAGCCACACUGGGACUGAGACACGGCCCAGACUCCUACGGGAGGCAGCAGUGGGGAAUAUUGGACAAUGGGCGCAAGCCUGAUCCAGCCAUGCCGCGUGAGUGAUGAAGGCCUUAGGGUUGUAAAGCUCUUUUGUCCGGGACGAUAAUGACGGUACCGGAAGAAUAAGCCCCGGCUAACUUCGUGCCAGCAGCCGCGGUAAUACGAAGGGGGCUAGCGUUGCUCGGAAUCACUGGGCGUAAAGGGCGCGUAGGCGGCCGAUUAAGUCGGGGGUGAAAGCCUGUGGCUCAACCACAGAAUUGCCUUCGAUACUGGUUGGCUUGAGACCGGAAGAGGACAGCGGAACUGCGAGU